rnacentral:rRNA from 1 species
GUGUGUUCCAGGUAAAUCCGGUUCACUUUAACACUGAGGCGUGACGACGAGGCACUACGGUGCUGAAGCAACAAAUGCCCUGCUUCCAGGAAAAGCCUCUAAGCAUCAGGUAACAUCAAAUCGUACCCCAAACCGACACAGGUGGUCAGGUAGAGAAUACCAAGGCGCUUGAGAGAACUCGGGUGAAGGAACUAGGCAAAAUGGUGCCGUAACUUCGGGAGAAGGCACGCUGACACGUAGGUGAAGUGAUUUACUCAUGGAGCUGAAGUCAGUCGAAGAUACCAGCUGGCUGCAACUGUUUAUUAAAAACACAGCACUGUGCAAACACGAAAGUGGACGUAUACGGUGUGACGCCUGCCCGGUGCCGGAAGGUUAAUUGAUGGGGUCAGCGCAAGCGAAGCUCCUGAUCGAAGCCCCGGUA